UUACUGUGUAGUGCAAUUUAUGGGCGUUACACAUGUACAUUUUUUCAAGAUGGCACCGUGCUAGCGGCAGCCAGUUACAGCAGCUCCUGUUAACUCUAAGUGUUUUUAGAUAUUUCUUGUAGUUUUUCUCUUUCCUUUUAUUCUAUUCUUCAAGUGGGUGCACCGCAUUUGUACAGGGCAGCAAUGGCUGUACAAGUGGCGCUUCCCCUACUUUUUCUACUCUUUAUUUUGGAACUUUUUUGUUUCUCAACUGGCAACCCGUUCAAACAUGGCGCCAUUGUUUACAGUCGGGAUCAGCUGUUGGCGCUGAGCCAGGCUAGGCAGCCGCAAUGGGAGAGACCGAACAUCCCAGCGGAGCUGCGGAGGAGAGGAUGCAGAGCAGGAGCGAAACACCAGGAGAAGAGGAGACGCUACAAGCCGUCUGUUCCAUCUGUAAUAAUGGGAAAUGUGAGGUCUCUCCCGAACAAGAUGGAAGAGCUUACGGCGCUGACCAGGCAGGAGUGGGAGUAUAGAGAGAGCAGUCUCUUGAUGUUUACCGAGUCAUGACUGAAAGAACAGACCCCGGACUCAAUUAUAAAUCUGGAUGGUUUACAUCUCGUCAGAGCGGACUGUGACGUGAGGGAGAGCGCAGGUGAAAUGUUGCCACGGCAACAGCCACAAACACUCUGGAUGAAACCCGACAACAAGGACCGAACACACAACAGAGUUAAACUCAUCAUGCAGGACCCUCCUCUGUCCAGACUGAGUCGAGGUUGUGGUCAUCUGGUUUCAUCCCACGGAUGUCUGGACGUUUGCUUCACUCCUCAGCAGGAUUACUACAUCUGGAGGGAUCAGGAUUCUCUACUGUGUUUGUCAAACAGUCUGAUGGGAACAGAAUCAACGCUUCCAAAGACGUACAGUACUAGAAGAGGAGCUCUACUGCUGUACUCACAGCAUUUGAUUUCCAUGGAAAGCAGCCGUUGCCCAGGAAACAGAAACAGGAGACAGAGAGCAGCUCAGGGAUCCUGUCAGCAGGUGAAGCAGCAACUGAGCAUGCUCAAAGACCUGACAGCGGCCAUUUUGAAGCACAGCAACAACCAGUUCUUCUCCUCCAGGCCUCCAGUCCUUCCUCCUCUGAACCUCCCUGCAGCCUCCAGAACCCUGAACACUAAAUAUCAGCAGCUCGGUCCAGAGAGAAACACCGGACAACCAGAGAAGCAAUCUGAAGUUCUAAAAUAGUGAUGGUGAGAUGAAGCCUCAUGAAGCAUUGAACCACUUGAACCAAUUGGUUCGAGAAAGGGUUCAUUUCUUGAAGCUUCAUGAGCACACGAAACCACCUACUGGUCAAGUGUAUAAUCACAGGCAGCUGUAUCUGAACCACAUGCCUGAUGCAUUGAGAGGGGUCUGGCUGCAGACCUCCACUCUCAGGACCCUUCCUCGCAGACCUGCACUGUGAGGUCUCCUCCACUCUAAGGACCGGAAGUUUAUUCGACGGAAGCACGUAUUUAGCGUUUCCUAUGUAAGCACGUAUUUAGCGUUUCGAAUUUACCCCUCCAGCGAACUGCUGAAAAAAAGAUUUAAUAUUGAACAAAACAACUGUGUAUUUUGUGAAAACGACAUUGAAACCACUGAACAUCUUUUUUACCAAUGCAUUUAUACAAAGACAUUCUGGGAAGACCUCUGGGACUGGCUGUCUUCAAAAAUCCAGCUACAGAACGCUUUGGACUGGGACAUUGUUGUCUUUGGCCUUUUACAGAAAGACUCUGAAACUAAAAUUGUGAUAAAUAGUAUACUACUGUUGGCAACAUUUUUUAUCCAUACUUGUAAAUGGCGUAAGGUAAAGUCCAUUUUCACAGUUUUCAAGAGACAAAUGCAAGAUAACUAUGUAAAAUCUUUGAAACUAAUGUUAUGUAAAAAAGCUCUUUUUCUGAUGAAAGCACUUGAAAAUGUACAAAUAUUUGAAGACCUCUAACAUACAAUGUUGCACGUGUGCGUGGGUCAGAGGCGUCACUAGGUUUUAAGGACAGGGGGGGCUUAGCCCCCAGGAGAUGCACAGGAUGUGAGCAAACAUUUAAUUUUACAGCUAACAAAAACUGAGAAAUUGCUUUUCCACAUUAAGAUUUAGAUUUAUUCAGAGAUACUUUACUGUAUAAAUGUUUACACCACAGUGGCCAUGACUUUUGCUCACAACACAAUAACUCAGAGCUGCCAAGUUGUGACCAGACCUCAGAGUGAGAUUUGGUUUGUGCAGGAUGCUGAUGGGGGGUGUGGGGGUCCUCCCCCAGAACAUUUAGAAAAUUACUGAUCCUAUUUCCUGCAUUCUGGUGUAAUUUAAGAGCAUUUUGUUAAAACCUUAUUAUAGAGGGAUAAUAAAAAAAACAACACUGAGCUAAAAAAAAA